AGUGAACGCUGGCGGUAGGCCUAACACAUGCAAGUCGAACGGCAGCACAGUAAGAGCUUGCUCUUACUGGUGGCGAGUGGCGGACGGGUGAGGAAUACAUCGGAAUCUACUUUUUCGUGGGGGAUAACGUAGGGAAACUUACGCUAAUACCUCAUACGACCUACGGGUGAAAGCAGGGGAUCUUCGGACCUUGCGCGAUUGAAUGAGCCGAUGUCGGAUUAGCUAGUUGGCGGGGUAAAGGCCCACCAAGGCGACGAUCCGUAGCUGGUCUGAGAGGAUGAUCAGCCACACUGGAACUGAGACACGGUCCAGACUCCUACGGGAGGCAGCAGUGGGGAAUAUUGGACAAUGGGCGCAAGCCUGAUCCAGCCAUACCGCGUGGGUGAAGAAGGCCUUCGGGUUGUAAAGCCCUUUUGUUGGGAAAGAAAAGAAGCAGGUUAAUACCCCGCUGUUCUGACGGUACCCAAAGAAUAAGCACCGGCUAACUUCGUG
rnacentral:rRNA from 1 species